rnacentral:rRNA from 1 species
UACGUAGGGGGCUAGCGUUGUCCGGAAUCAUUGGGCGUAAAGAGCGUGUAGGCGGUCCGGUAAGUCCGUUGUGAAAGUCAGGGGCUCAACCCUUGAAUGCCGGCGGAUACUGUCGGGCUAGAGUCCGGAAGAGGCGAGUGGAAUUCCCGGUGUAGCGGUGAAAUGCGCAGAUAUCGGGAGGAACACCUAUGGCGAAGGCAGCUCGCUGGGACGGUACUGACGCUGAGGAGCGAAAGCGUGGGGAGCGAACAGG